rnacentral:rRNA from 1 species
AACAGGAUUAGAUACCCUGGUAGUCCAUGCCGUAAACGUUGGGCACUAGGUGUGGGGGACAUUCCACGUUUUCCGCGCCGUAGCUAACGCAUUAAGUGCCCCGCCUGGGGAGUACGGCCGCAAGGCUAAAACUCAAAGGAAUUGACGGGGGCCCGCACAAGCGGCGGAGCAUGCGGAUUAAUUCGAUGCAACGCGAAGAACCUUACCAAGGCUUGACAUGUGCCAGACUGCCGUGGAAACACGGUUUCCCCUUUGGGGCUGGUUCACAGGUGGUGCAUGGUUGUCGUCAGCUCGUGUCGUGAGAUGUUGGGUUAAGUCCCGCAACGAGCGCAACCCUCGUUCCAUGUUGCCAGCGCGUAAAGGCGGGGACUCAUGGGAGACUGCCGGGGUCAACUCGGAGGAAGGUGGGGACGACGUCAAAUCAUCAUGCCCCUUAUGUCUUGGGCUUCACGCAUGCUACAAUGGCCGGUACAAUGGGUUGCGAUACUGUGAGGUGGAGCUAAUCCCAAAAAGCCGGUCUCAGUUCGGAUUGGGGUCUGCAACUCGACCCCAUGAAGUCGGAGUCGCUAGUAAUCGCAGAUCAGCAACGCUGCGGUGAAUACGUUCCCGGGCCUUGUACACACCGCCCGUCAAGUCACGAAAGUUGGUAACACCCGAAGCCGGUGGCCUAACCCCUUGUGGGAGGGAGCCGUCGAAGGUGGGACCGGCGAUUGGGACUAAGUCGUAACAAGGUAACC